CAUGCGCGGGGGACAGAGGCGGGCGGUCCUGGUGCGUAGUGAGCUUGCUGUCGUCGAGGCUCCGCGACUGCCGCGCGAAGGUUCCGACCUUCCCUUCGUCCCCCCCCGCACCCAGCACCCUCCCUGCGGGGCGCUCCCGGGGGCAGGGCCGAGCAAGCGGCACCGGUCUGCACCGGGGCCUCCAGGAGCCGUGCUCUGUCAGGAUGAGUUUUCUGCUGCCCCAGCUUACCUGUAAGAAGGAGGUGGAUCAGGCAAUAAAAAGCGUGGCGGAGAAGGUGCUGGUUCUUCGGUUUGGAAGAGAUGAGGAUCCUGUCUGUCUGCAGCUGGAUGAUAUUCUUGCAAAGACAUCUCAUGACCUAAGUAAAAUGGCAGUCAUUUACCUGGUGGAUGUGAACAAGGUGCCGGUGUACACCCAGUAUUUUGACAUCAGUUAUAUUCCAUCUACCGUCUUUUUCUUCAAUGGACAACACAUGAAAGUUGAUUAUGGGUCUCCAGAUCAUACUAAAUUUGUAGGAAGCUUCAAAACAAAGCAAGACUUUAUAGAUCUGAUUGAAGUGAUUUACCGUGGUGCAAUGCGUGGAAAGCUCAUUGUGAGAAGUCCUAUUGAUCCCAAUAAUAUUCCUAAAUAUGACCUUCUCUACCAAGGCAUUUAAUGGAUUCGUCUGAGAUCAAUGAAGACCAAACCACCAUAGCCAUGGGCAAUGAAAGCCACAUUCUCAGCUGCACUCUUUGAAAUAAAAUGAUCCCAGACAUACAUGAUCCAUGACGUUGUCAUUGGGAUUCAGUACAAUCACUCCCCCGUGGCUUUGAAGGGCCAUUUUGAUGAAUGGUAUUUGUGUUCCAUGGUCCAAGCCCUCACUGAUAAUGGUCCUUUGCCCCCACUGUCCAGCGCGAAAGACUCCACGGUCUUGAAGGAGGACAGUUAGACUAGAGGUAUUUGUUAGUGCUUUCUCACUCAUGAAAAAGAAGCUUCUUGGUUCAUCCUCUGCAGCAUCAAUAGGAAUGUAGACUUUCUGCAGCAUACAAACUCUUUCCAGGAGCUCAUAAACAUACUGGGUAAGCAAAUGUCCCAACACUUGAUAGCGUUUAUGAUUCCUCUCAUGUGCAUUUUUGUAAUAUUUGAAAACAAAGGACUCAUUGGUGUCCAGAUGCCGCAAUUCUCCUUUUAUAUUGAAGUCGUAGUUCAGUUGUUCUUGAUACUCUGAACCCUCUACUAGUUUCCUCAAGCUUAGUUCAUGCUCCAUUUGUAACCACUACAAAUUAAGAGGAUUUAUGUCAAUACAGUGCUAGUCCUUUGUACAACUGCAUAAAGAAAAUAUAUUAGAAGACAGAUUUUAAAAAGGUGACAAAGUAGUCAUAGACACAAACUAUUUUUUGGUGGUCUGUAGUAAACCAGCUGUUUGUAAAGGCUGUCACACAUUCUGAUUGCUAAAUUACAAUAGCAAUACAUUAAUACAGAUCCUUCCAAUUAUUACUUUAUCCCUCUCAGUGCUUGCCACAUGGACGUAACAGAAUGAAUCACAGAAUAAACCAGACACUGUUUGAA